rnacentral:rRNA from 1 species
UACGUAGGGUGCGAGCGUUGCCCGGAUUUAUUGGGCGUAACGGGCGCGUAGGCGGUCACGCACGUCCGUUGUGAAAUCGCUCGGCUCAACUGGGCGGGGUCAGCGGAUACGGCGUGGCUGGAGCAAGCUAGGGGGCAAUGGAAUUCCCGGUGUAGUGGUGGAAUGCGUAGAUAUCGGGAGGAACACCAGUGGCGAAGGCGGUUGCCUGGAGCUUUGCUGACGCUGAUGCGCGAAAGCGUGGGGAGCGAUCCGG